rnacentral:misc_RNA from 1 species
GAUGAAGAACGUAGCGAAAUGCGAUAAGUAAUGUGAAUUGCAGAAUUCAGUGAAUCAUCGAAUCUUUGAACGCACCUUGCGCCCUUUGGCCAUUCCGAAGGGCAUGCCUGUUUGAGUAUCAUGAACACCUCAACUCUUUAUGGUUUUCCAUGAUGAGCUUGGACUUUGGGGGUUUUGCUGGCCUAUGGUCGGCUCCUCUAAAAUAAAUCAGCUUACCGGUGUUUGGUGGGUAUCAUGGGUGUGAUAACUAUCUACGCUUGUGGUUUUUCCACCAGGUAACCUUCGACAGCGGAGGUUCACUGGAGCUCAUAGAUGUCUCUCCUCAGCGAGGACAGCUCUUUUUGAACGUUUGAUCUCAAAUCAGGUAGGACUACCCGCUGAACUUAAGCAUAUCAAUAAGCGGAGGA